rnacentral:tRNA from 1 species
ACCAUGUUGGGAUAACGGGCCUUUACCCUCUUGAAGAGGUUGUACCAUUCAUCAAUGGUGGAGGGUUCCGGCUCCUUCAUUUCGUCC